rnacentral:pre_miRNA from 1 species
AUCACCUGGGCAUUUUGUUAAAAUGCAGAUUCCGAUGCAGCAUAUCUGGGAGCCUGAGAGUCUGUAUUUUUAACAAAUUCCCAGGUGAUGCCAA